GGCUGUCCAGGCCUUUCAGAGACACGGGCACGCCGGCAGCACAAUGAUGAUGUCACUGACUCUACUGCUGGCCACCCUGGGGCUCCUUGUUCAGGGUUCAUCAGGACAAAUCAUCCUGACUCAGUCUCCUGGAUCUCAGUCUGUUGUUGCAGGACAGUCUGUCUCUAUCAGAUGUAAAACCAGUACAAGUAUUAGUAACUACCUCCACUGGUACCUUCAGAAAUCUGGAGAAGCUCCUAAACUCCUGAUUUAUUCAGCUACAACCCGUCAGUCUGGAGUUUCAGAUCGUUUUACUGGAAGCCGUUUUUCAGGCAGUGGAUCAAAGUCGGACUUCACUCUGACCAUCAGUGGAGUUGAGGCUGAAGAUGCAGCAGUUUAUUACUGUCAGAGUUAUCAUUACAUAAACAGUCAGCCUGUGUUCACACAGUGA